CCGGCGACCGGCGCACGGGUGAGUAACACGUAUGCAACCUGCCCGCAGCAGGGGGAUAAGCGGAAGAAAUUCCGUCUAAUACCGCGUAACAACGUUGGGAGGCAUCUCCCGAUGUUUAAAGAUUUAUCGGCUGCGGAUGGCCAUGCGGCGCAUUAGCUAGUCGGCGGGGUAACGGCCCACCGAGGCGACGAUGCGUAGGGGUUCUGAGAGGAAGGUCCCCCACACUGGUACUGAGACACGGACCAGACUCCUACGGGAGGCAGCAG
rnacentral:rRNA from 1 species